UGUACGUCAUCACGUACGUGCGUCCAACUCUUUCCGGUUCCAAUAGCAGCCAUCUUGUUUCCCCCUGCUAGUUAAAUAAAAUAAAUAAUAAGCCGAGUCGGACUUCACUUCGAACCCACUAAAGAAACAGAGUAGAAGAUGUCGGCAGAUGCGUUUGGAGCCGGGGGCAGCGAUGCUCAGCAAACCUUGCAGUCCUUCUGGCCUCGUGUCAUGGAGGAGAUCAGGAACCUCACUGUGAAGGAUUUCCGCGUGCAGGAGUUGCCUCUUGCUCGAAUCAAGAAAAUUAUGAAGCUGGAUGAGGAUGUCAAAAUGAUCAGUGCGGAGGCUCCAGUCCUGUUUGCCAAGGCAGCUCAGAUCUUCAUCACAGAGCUCACCCUCAGAGCAUGGAUCCACACUGAGGACAACAAGAGACGCACACUACAGAGGAACGACAUUGCCAUGGCAAUAACAAAGUUCGACCAGUUUGACUUCCUGAUUGACAUUGUGCCCCGGGACGACCUGAAGCCUCCUAAACGACAGGAGGAGAUGCGUCAGUCGGUAGCUCCAGCGGAGCCGGUGCAGUACUACUUCACCUUGGCCCAGCAGCCCGGAGCUGUACAGGUGCAGGGAACACAACAAGGCCAGCAACCCGGCACACAAACGGCCACAACCAUCCAGCCUGGACAGAUCAUCAUCGCACAGCCACAGCAGGGACAGAUGCUGCAAGGUGCCACCAUGCAACAGUUACAGCAGGUGCAGGUGCAGUCACAGGGCACACCCAUCACGAGUGCGCCAGUGGCCAUGCAGGUGGGUGAGGGCCAACAGGUACAGAUUGUCCAGGCAGCUCAGGGUCAGGCUCAGACAGGUCAAGCCCAGGGCCAGACCAUGCAGGUCAUGCAGCAGAUCAUCACCAACACAGGAGAGAUUCAGCAAAUCCCGGUGCAACUAAACACGGGCCAGCUACAAUACAUCCGUCUAGCCCAGCCUGUCUCCGGAGCACAAGUGGUCCAGGGACAGAUUCAGACUCUCGCCAACACCCAGCAGAUCACACAGGCUGAUGUACAGCAAGGACAGCAGCAAUUCAACCAGUUUACUGAUGGACAGCAGUUGUAUCAGAUUCAGCAGGUGACGAUGCCAGCGGGACAGGAGCUGACCCAACAAAUGUUUAUUCAGUCCACCAAUCAGACAACAGACGUGCAGGCCACGCAGGUCAGCACCGAAUGAGCCCAACCAGGAACCUUCACUACACACACACACUCACGUGUGCCCACAUGACGCCAUCAGUUGCCACCAAGUCCAACAAAGGAAGUUCAACUCCAAUGAUUUUAAGCACUGCUCAUUUAGACGGGGGACCUGUAAUCUUGUAACACUCAUUUUUUUAGGGUAAUAAAUUUUAGUACACUGGAUCAAAAACCAAAGGGACACUGACUCUUUCCCAAUCACAUGCUUCGAUAUGUUUACGAUUUUGUACUUCUGCCACCCACAUCUGUAAAGAAAUAUGCAUCAACUGCAACAGUGAACUGUCUCUCCACCAACCAACCCCAUUCUACUUGUCUUUCUGAACUUCAAAUACUUUAAAAAGAUAAGAAAGUUGUGAGCUUUAUUCUUGCCACCUUCCUUUUCUGCUACCCAUUUGGAAAUUAAUUGGGAAAUUGUCCGUCCCUUGUGUCCACGAUCUGGUGAUAUCUGUGAUGGAGGGAAGCCGUGUGAUUCAUCAUCCCUUCUUCAUCGUUUGUCAUGUAAUUGAUGAAUGAAAUGAAGCCAUAUACCUCAGAUAUCACUGUUUAACCGUAACUCAAUCUAAGGGAUCUAGAGAAGUUACAGGUUUAGUGAUGUCAUUUUCCACACUGAGGGAUGAAGCAUGACUUUUAUGUUGUAAGGGCUUCAAUCUGUAACUGUGUGUUUGUGUGUUGAGCACAGACCAGUUAUCUCUAUACUUCCAUUUUGUCUCUUUAUUCACUUUCUUUCUUCACCCCUCCGCCUUUGAGCAGCUCUUCUCUUCCUCUGUGCAGUCUCACACCACCUUGUCUACCCGGGUGGUUUAGGAGUCUUGUGCCCUGGGUUUCGUCUCAUGUACGAACACAUGACUCCACCUGGAGAAAAAAAACAACACCCCUUUUAUAGAACACUGCUUUUUUGUGUUUAAAAAAAAAUUCAAAUGUUUUUUCUUUUUGGGUUAGAAACAAUGUUUUGCCUUCCCCAUCAUUUUUGUACAGUAAUGAUUAUUAAUGUUCUUAUUGUUGUUUUUGCAUGUAGUUCCAACUGCCAGCAUGACAUGCAAUAGAUAGGGGACUUAAGCAACUUGCUAUGUGUGGACAGUAGACAGGGAGACAGGAGAGAAAUGCUACAGCACCAAGAGAUAAGACUUGAACCAGCCCAGUCAGCCCACGACUGUAUUUUCAGGUAGACACAUCUCUCCACCAGUGCCCAAAAUGUUGUAAGAGUUAUUAUUUUCCACUCUUACUUAUAGUAAAUGAAUGGGGUUUUGGGCUGUGGGUGAGAGAAAACACGGGCAGAGCUUCUUUGUUGUUACUCAGGUACCAUUUAAUGUCCUUCUCAAACUGCAGGACAACUGAACACUGCACAUUAACUGAAAUAUCACUCCAUGUAUCUUAGCAAUAAUUUGACAGGCAAGGUGCACCCUGUGACAUUGUUUCUGAUCUAAAUAAAUUAACGUAACACCAUAUAUGAUAAUUACUAAGGCUGUGUCAAUUCCAUAGUAAACCUCAGAAAUACAAAAAUAAAUCUCAUCUUACAAAUAA